rnacentral:misc_RNA from 1 species
AAAAUAGAAAAAUGUCGUCUUUGUCAAUGGAAUGUGAAGUUACAGAAGAUGUGACCUGUGAAUAAUAUUGUGAAUUAUUCUGUUUGAAAACUCGUUAGUUUAUUGUUUUUUAUGAUCAAGUUUUGAAACUAAAAUACCAAUUAAAGAUGAGUAAAUAUACGUAUUCAACGGCCAACCUAACCGAUAAGGAAUUGAAGGAACAAGGAAACAGACUUUUCAGUUUGAGAAAAUAUGAUGAAGCUAUCAACUUUUACACUAAAGCAAUUAAAAAGAACCCUAUGGUUCCAACGUAUUUCACCAAUCGAGCCCUGUGUCAUUUGAAAAUGAAGAAAUGGGAUGCAUCCUGUCAAGACUGCCGACGGGCGCUGGAUAUGGACUCAGCUCUUGUCAAAGGCCACUUCUUUCUGGGCCAGGCUCUAUUCGAAAUGGACAACUAUGAUGAGGCUAUAAAGCAUUUACAGAGAGCGCAUGACUUGGCUAAGGAACAAAAGUUGAAUUACGGCGAUGACAUUGCAAGCCAGUUGCGAUCGGCCAGAAAGAAACGCUGGAAUCAACAAGAAGAGAAACGAAUUGCACAAGAAAUAGAAUUACUGACCUAUCUUAAUCGGCUAAUAUUACAAGAUGCCAGAUCGCAGAUAAAUAAUGUGCAAAACAACGAUAAACUAACGAAUGAAGAGAUGCAUAAGAGAAUUAUGGACAUUGAAAGGAAUUGUGAUAAUAACACAAGUGAACUGAACUCGCUUUUUGCCAAAAUCGAUGAAAGGAGAAGGAAACGUGACGUCCCCGACUAUCUAUGUGGAAAAAUCAGUUUCGAAAUUCUAAAGGAGCCCGUUAUUACUCCUAGUGGAAUCACAUAUGAAAGGAAGGACAUCGAAGAACAUUUGCAGAGGGUGGGCCACUUCGACCCAGUGACCCGUGUUAAGCUGACGCAAGAUCAGCUGAUCCCCAACUUCGCCAUGAAGGAGGUGGUUGACUGCUUCCUGCAGGAUAACGAGUGGGCGUUGGAUUACUGACAACUCAACGUGAAUCAUCGCCGUCAGCUGCGUGGCCCGGGGGGAGGGGGGUUGGCAUUAUGGUGCUGCUGAAUCUUCUGAACAAAAUCACCCCGACCGAAAAAACCUCCUCGAUUAGUUGUAAAGGUAUACUAUUCGUUUCCGUUCAUCUGUCUCAGUACGGUACAGUAAUAGCGUAGAAAGAAGAUAGCAUAAGAAGAUAUGCCAUGGUAUAGGGCGUUUAUGUUCCAAAUUUCACUGUUACUCAAACCGAUAGUUCUAGUAGUUAUUAUUCGUGAAGCUAUGUCAGACUGGUAAGCCAGUUACAAACACAUUUUUGGACAAAACUGGCUUCUAUCUGAAAUGUGUUUGUUUUUACAAACACAUUUCAGACUCACAGAUUUUUAGGCUUCCUUCUAAAUUCUAGCAAGCCAGUUAAACACAUAUCAAUUUUUGGACGUUACAUUUUUAGCCGUGCUUAUGAAUUCUAUCAUAUUGAACGGAAAUUGACAAACAUCAUCUGUUCAAUCAUAAUAGAAUUUAUAAGGA